rnacentral:rRNA from 1 species
AACGAACGCUGGCGGCAUGCUUUACACAUGCAAGUCGAACGGUAACAGGCCGCAAGGUGCUGACGAGUGGCGAACGGGUGAGUAAUGCAUCGGAACGUGCCCAGUCGUGGGGGAUAACGCAGCGAAAGUUGCGCUAAUACCGCAUACGAUCUAUGGAUGAAAGCGGGGGACCGUAAGGCCUCGCGCGAUUGGAGCGGCCGAUGUCAGAUUAGGUAGUUGGUGGGGUAAAGGCUCACCAAGCCGACGAUCUGUAGCUGGUCUGAGAGGACGACCAGCCACACUGGGACUGAGACACGGCCCAGACUCCUACGGGAGGCAGCAGUGGGGAAUUUUGGACAAUGGGCGCAAGCCUGAUCCAGCAAUGCCGCGUGCAGGAAGAAGGCCUUCGGGUUGUAAACUGCUUUUGUACGGAACGAAACGGUCCUGGUUAAUACCCGGGGCUAAUGACGGUACCGUAAGAAUAAGCACCGGCUAACUACGUGCCAGCCGCCGCAGUAACAC